rnacentral:rRNA from 1 species
UACAGAGGUGGCAAGCGUUGUUCGGAAUUACUGGGCGUAAAGGGCGCGUAGGCGGCCUUCUAAGUCAGACGUGAAAUCCCCAGGCUUAACUUGGGAACUGCGUCUGAUACUGGGAGGCUUGAGUGCGGGAGAGGGAUGUGGAAUUCCAGGUGUAGCGGUGAAAUGCGCAGAUAUCAGGAGGAACACCAAUGGCGAAGGCAGCUCGCUGGAACGGUACUGACGCUGUGGCGCGAAAGCGUGGGGAGCAAACGGG